CAUGGGCCAGGCUCAGCGGUGUGCUGGCACUAGGCCAACAGCACACUGGGCCAGUCUAGGUAUGCACACGACCCGCGAGAAUGGGCACCCAGGCCCACCUAGGUAUCGUGGUCCAUGAUGGACCGUGCUAUGUCGUGGCUCAGAAGCAAUGGUGUGGAUCAGAGCACAAUCCGAUGGCUCUGGAGAGAGCCAAUAAUGAUCAAAUGGUUAAGAGGCUUUUUGAGUUUGAUCAGGAGCCUGGGGAUACCUAAUUGCAUGAUUGGAUGGCCAUAAUGUGAGCCGAUCAUGAUCGAACGGCCA
rnacentral:lncRNA from 1 species